AUAAAAAACACCCAUUAAAACCCAUCUCACCUUCUCUUUUCUCGAUUUUUCUUCUCAUUUUCCACCAGUUGAAGAACACUAGUCAAAUGUUUGAAGAUCACUGCAUUUCUCUCUCUAAAACGAUUGCGUCUUCGAUUUGAUGUAUUUGUUGUGGUGGAAAACCCAUCUUCGUUGGGUUUGGUCGAUCAGGUGGUUUGCGGUGAUGUUGGUUUCGUCAUGAAACACCGACAACGGCGGCGUUAGGGUUCAUGAUUAGGGUUUCCUUCCUUCUUCUGCUGACUGCGUUCUUCUCCAGAGACACCACAGGUUUGUUUCACACCCAAAGAAAGAGAGAGAUAGAGAUGUGCUCGGAUUUUAAACACAACGGUUUUGCGGCAGCGGUGGGUCGGAAUCGGAGAUCUGGCAGCUGUGCUCCACGGUAGACACAUUUGUAUAUCUCAACUGAGUCUGCUUGAGCUUCGUGCGCACAUUGAUCUGUGGUAUGAUUAAAUGAGUUGCUUUUGAUUUAUUUUGUUAAUUAGUAUGAUUAUUUAUAUGUUUUUGUUUGAUUAAUGAUUAUGAUGGUUGAUUGAAGAUGGGUGUAAUUGUAUUUGUGAGUAUGUUUA